GAAUGGCGAAAGAGGGAAGUAGGCCCAGUGGCGUAACGAGCCAACACCGGGCCCUAAAGCAGGAUUAUCAAGGCGGGCCCCCAUACUACAGCACAUGAUGACGGCGCAAUGUCCACGAUUAGGCUACCAUAAAUAGGACAGGAUAGGAUCAGAGUGACACAGCAUAUGAGAUGAGAUGACUGACAAAAUCAGGAGUAGCCUACGCGCACCACAACAACAA